CCCUUAGAUGUUCUGGGCCGCACACGCGCUACAAUGGUGAAUUCAACAAGUCAACCAAAGCCGAUAGGUGGAGGUAAACUCGUAGUAUUCGCCGUGAUGGGGAUAGACCCUUGUAAUUAUUGGUCUCCGACGAGGAAUUCCUAGUAGACGCAAGUCAUCAACUUGCAUCGAUUACGUCCCUGCCCUUUGUACACACCGCCCGUCGCUACUACCGAUUGGAUGGUUUAGCGAGAACUUUGGACCGGAGCUCGGGUGGUCAGCAAUGGCCGCCCGAGACAUACUGGGAAAUCGCUCCAGCUUGAUCAUCUAGAGGAAGUAAAAGUCGUAACA
rnacentral:rRNA from 1 species